rnacentral:rRNA from 1 species
AGUGGGGAAUUUUGGACAAUGGGGGCAACCCUGAUCCAGCCAUUCCGCGUGAGUGAAGAAGGCCUUCGGGUUGUAAAGCUCUUUCAGCUGGAACGAAACGGGACGCUCUAACAUAGCGUGCUAAUGACGGUACCAGCAGAAGAAGCACCGGCUAACUACGUGCCAGCAGCCGCGGUAAUACGUAGGGUGCGAGCGUUAAUCGGAAUUACUGGGCGUAAAGCGUGCGCAGGCGGAUUGUUAAGCAAGAUGUGAAAUCCCCGGGCUUAACCUGGGAAUGGCAUUUUGAACUGGCAGUCUAGAGUGCGUCAGAGGGGGGUGGAAUUCCACGUGUAGCAGUGAAAUGCGUAGAGAUGUGGAGGAACACCGAUGGCGAAGGCAGCCCCCUGGGAUGACACUGACGCUCAUGUACGAAAGCGUGGGUAGCAAACAGGAUUAGAUACCCUGGUAGUCCACGCCCUAAACGAUGUCAACUGGUUGUUGGGGGAGUGAAAUCCCUUAGUAACGAAGCUAGCGCGUGAAGUUGACCGCCUGGGGAGUACGGUCGCAAGAUUA